ACUGCUCAGUAACACGUGGACAACCUGCCCUUAGGUUGGGUAUAAACCCGGGAAACUGGGUAUAAUACCCGAUAGGUCUCGAUUGCUGGAAUGCAUCGAGAUUUAAAGCUCCGGCGCCUAAGGAUGGGUCUGCGGCCUAUCAGGUAGUAGUGGGUGUAGCGUACCUACUAGCCUACGACGGGUACGGGUUGUGAGAGCAAGAGCCCGGAGAUGGAUUCUGAGACACGAAUCCAGGCCCUACGGGGUGCAGCAGGCGCGAAAACUUUACAAUGCUGGCAACAGCGAUAAGGGAACCUCGAGUGCCAGGUUACAAAUCUGGCUGUCGAGAUGCCUAAAAAGCAUUUCAUAGCAAGGGCCGGGCAAGACCGGUGCCAGCCGCCGCGGUAACACCGGCGGCUCGAGUGGUAACCGUUAUUAUUGGGCCUAAAGGGUCUGUAGCCGGCCGGAUAAGUCUCUUGAGAAAUCUGGCAGCUUAACUGUCAGGCUUUCAGGAGAUACUGUCUGGCUCGAGGCCGGGAGAGGUGAGAGGUACUUCAGGGGUAGGGGUGAAAUCUUGUAAUCCUUGAAGGACCACCAGUGGCGAAGGCGUCUCACCAGAACGGACCUGACGGCAAGGGACGAAAGCUAGGGGCACGAACCGGAUUAGAUACCCGGGUAGUCCUAGCCGUAAACGAUACUCGCUAGGUGUCGGCCACGGUGCGACCGUUGUCGGUGCCGUAGGGAAGCCGUGAAGCGAGCCACCUGGGAAGUACGGCCGCAAGGCUGAAACUUAAAGGAAUUGGCGGGGGAGCAC
rnacentral:rRNA from 1 species